GACGAACGCUGGCGGCGUGCUUAACACAUGCAAGUCGAACGGUGAAAGCGGGGCUUGCUCCGCUGGAUCAGUGGCGAACGGGUGAGUAACACGUGGGCAACCUGCCCCUCACUUCGGGAUAACUCCGGGAACCCCGCGCUAAUACCGGAUAUGACCUCCUUGGGCAUCCUUGCCGGUGCCAAGUUUUUCGGUGAGGGAUGGGCCCGCGGCCUAUCAGCUUGUUGGUGAGGUAGUGGCUCACCAAGGCGACGACGGGUAGCCGGCCUGAGAGGGCGACCGGCCACACUGGGACUGAGACACGGCCCAGACUCCUACGGGAGGCAGCAGUGGGGAAUAUUGCGCAAUGGGCGAAAGCCUGACGCAGCAACGCCGCGUGCGGGAUGACGGCCUUCGGGUUGUAAACCGCUUUCAGCAGGGAAGAAGCCGCAAGGUGACGGUACCUGCAGAAGAAGCACCGGCUAACCACGUGCCAGCCGCCGCCGUAAAAC
rnacentral:rRNA from 1 species